rnacentral:rRNA from 1 species
GACGAACGCUGGCGGCGUGCUUAACACAUGCAAGUCGAACGGAAAGGCCCUGCUUUUGUGGGGUGCUCGAUUGGCGAACGGGUGAGUAACACGUGAGUAACCUGCCCUUGACUUUGGGAUAACUUCAGGAAACUGGGGCUAAUACCGGAUAGGAGCUCCUGCUGCAUUGUGGGGGUUGGAAAGUUUCGGCGGUUGGGGAUGGACUCGCGGCUUAUCAGCUUGUUGGUGGGGUAGUGGCUUACCAAGGCUUUGACGGGUAGCCGGCCUGAGAGGGUGACCGGCCACAUUGGGACUGAGAUACGGACCAGACUCCUACGGGAGGCAGCAGGGGGGAAUAUUGCACAAUGGGCGGAAGCCUGAGGCAGCAACGCCGCGUGCGGGAUGACGGCCUUCGGGUUGUAAACCGCUUUCGCCUGUGACGAAGCGUGAGUGACGGUAAUGGGUAAAGAAGCACCGGCUAACUACGUG